AUCUUGAGAAAUUUCAUCGUGAUGGGGAUAGAUCAUUGCAAUUGUUGGUCUUCAACGAGGAAUGCCUAGUAAGCGCGAGUCAUCAGCUCGCGUUGACUACGUCCCUGCCCUUUGUACACACCGCCCGUCGCUCCUACCGAUUGAAUGGUCCGGUGAAGUGUUCGGAUCGCGACGACGGGGGCGGUUCGCCGCCCCCGACGUCGCGAGAAGUCCAUUGAACCUUAUCAUUUAGAGGAAGGAGAAGUCGUAACAAGGUUUCCGUAGGUGAACCUGCGGAAGGAUCAUUG
rnacentral:rRNA from 1 species